GACAGAGGUGCCGAGCGUUAGGCGGAAUCACUGGGCUUAAAGCGUGUGUAGGCGGAUGGGUAAGUACCUUGUGAAAUCCCACGGCUCAACCGUGGAACUGCUCGGUAUACUGCUCGUCUUGAGCCAACUAGGGGCGACCGGAACAAACGGUGGAGCGGUGAAAUGCGCAGAUAUCAGGAGGAACACCGGUGGCGAAGGCGGGUCUCUGGGCCGAUGACUGACGCUGAGGAGCGAAAGCGUGGGGAGCGAACAGG
rnacentral:rRNA from 1 species